UGGGGAAUAUUGCACAAUGGGGGAAACCCUGAUGCAGCGACGCCGCGUGAACGAAGAAGGUAUUCGUACCGUAAAGUUCUGUCCUAUGGGAAGAUAAUGACAGUACCAUAGAAGAAAGCUCCGGCUAAAUACGUGCCAGCAGCCGCGGUAAUACGUAUGGAGCGAGCGUUGUCCGGAAUUAUUGGGCGUAAAGGGUACGCAGGCGGUUUAAUAAGUCGAAUGUUAAAGAUCGGGGCUCAACCCCGCAAAGCAUUGGAAACUGAUAAACUUGAGUAGUGGAGAGGAAAGUGGAAUUCCUAGUGUAGUGGUGAAAUACGUAGAUAUUAGGAGGAAUACCAGUAGCGAAGGCGACUUUCUGGACACAAACUGACGCUGAGGUACGAAAGCGUGGGGAGCAAACAGG
rnacentral:rRNA from 1 species